ensembl:lncRNA
CCCCACAUUUUAUUUUUUAAUUUUUUUUUUUCCUCCCCGGGGGGGGGGAAUGGAGGGCGCGGGGGGCGGCGGGGCCCCCCCGGGGGGUUCCGAGCCCCCCGACCGCGCUGUCGAGUACCUGCUGGAGCUGAACCGGAUUAUCGCGACUCAGCGACAUCUCCUGGCCUCGCAGCGCCGCCGCAUCGCGCAGCUCGAGGGGCAGCUGCAGCGCCUGGCCCGGGAGAACCGGCACCUGCGGCAGCGAGGGGCGGCGGGCAACGCCGGCACCCCCCGGCACCCGGGCCACGCGGACCCCGAGGCUCAGUACCAGAACCACCUGGAGGCCGAGGGGCUCUACGGGGACCCCGAGCUGCCCUACCCGGCCCGGGGCGAGCGGGACCUGCCCUACCCGAGCCACGGCGACCCCGACGGGGAGUACCCGGCUCACCUGGAGCGGGACGGGACCUACCCCGAGCACCUGGAGCACGACGGGAGCUACGCGGAGCACCUGGAGCGGGAGCGGCCCUACCCCGCGCACCUGGAGCGGGACGCGGCGUUCGAGGCGCUGAGCGAGCGGGACGGACCCUACACGGGCCGAGCCGAGCACGAACGGCCCUACCCGAGCCGAAAGGAGCGGGACAGACCCUACCUGAGCCGAGCCGAGCGGGACGGGCCCUACACGGCCCGCAUGGAGCAGGAGGGGCAGUUCCACGGCUGCCUGGAGCGGGACCUCCAGUACCAGCCGCACCUGGAGAGGGACGGGCAGUACCCGGGCAGGAUGGAGCAGGACGGGCAAUAUUCGGGCAGGAUGGAGCAAGACGGGCAAUAUUCGGGCAGGAUGGAGCAAGACGGACAAUAUUCGGGCAGGAUGGAGCAGGACGGACAAUAUUCCAGCCGCAUGGACCGAGAAGGGCCGUACCCGGCGCGGCUGGAGCGCGAGGGGCCGUACCCGGCGCGGGACGGGCAGUACCCGGCGCGGCUGGAGCAGGAGGGGCCGUACCCGGCCCGCUUGGAGCGGGAGGCGCCGUUCCGGGCCCGGGACGGGCACUACGGGAGCUGCUGGGAGCGGGAGUGGGCGCGGGGGCCGCUGAGCCGCGGCCCCUCCCGCAGCUCCAGCCCCGGGGGGGGGCACAGCACCAGCGCCAGCACCAGC